rnacentral:rRNA from 1 species
UACAGAGGUCCCGAGCGUUGUUCGGACUCAUUGGGCGUAAAGGGUGUGUAGGUGGCGCGCUAAGUCGGGUGUGAAAUUUCGGAGCUUAACUCCGAAACUGCAUUCGAUACUGCCGUGCUUGAGGACUGGAGAGGAGACUGGAAUUUACGGUGUAGCGGUGAAAUGCGUAGAUAUCGUAAGGAAGACCAGUGGCGAAGGCGGCGAUCUGGGAAGAUACUGACGCUGAGGUGCGAAAGCGUGGGGAGCAAACAGG